GAUGAACGCUGGCGGCGUGCUUAACACAUGCAAGUCGAACGGGAAUUAUUUUAUUGAAACUUCGGUCGAUUUAAUUUAAUUCUAGUGGCGGACGGGUGAGUAACGCGUGGGUAACCUGCCUUAUACAGGGGGAUAACAGUCAGAAAUGGCUGCUAAUACCGCAUAAGCGCACAGAGCUGCAUGGCUCAGUGUGAAAAACUCCGGUGGUAUAAGAUGGACCCGCGUUGGAUUAGCUUGUUGGCAGGGUAACGGCCUACCAAGGCGACGAUCCAUAGCCGGCCUGAGAGAGUGAACGGCCACAUUGGGACUGAGACACGGCCCAGACUCCUACGGGAGGCAGCAGUGGGGAAUAUUGCACAAUGGGGGAAACCCUGAUGCAGCGACGCCGCGUGAAGGAAGAAGUAUCGCGGUAUGUAAACUUCUAGCAGCAAGGAAGAUAGUGACGGUACCUGACUAAGAAGCCCCGGCUAACUACGUG
rnacentral:rRNA from 1 species